CAUAUUUGAAAGAGUAAUUCGUUUGGUUUUGUAAUAAAGCUUGUGGCAUAUAAAAAAAACUAGAAUUACAGGAGCAGAUAAAUAGUUUUCAAAAAAUGCACUGGCAUCUGGUUUACCGCCAACAGGGAAAAUGGAGACAUAAAAUUCUGCAGCCAACACUAAGCAAACUAGUAUAAAAGCAUAAUAGGAAGCAUAAACAUUAAAUGGAGAGACAAAUCCAACCUCUUUGAGGCUCCUGUUUUGAUGUUUCAUAGCGGCUCUAUACCGAAUAUGUGCUAGACAUAUACUGCCCCAGCAAAAUAAUGUACCCAAACCAGAAAUCGACAGCAUCCAGUCAAAUACAGUGUCAUAUUGUCCUGUUUCGACAAGGUAACCUAAAAACAUAAACAAGAACAAAAUAAGAAGAGCAACGAGAGGUCGACCUUCACGAUCAACCAGUGUAAAACACUUAGGAGCAAAGCCAUUACACCCUAAGGAAUGAAUUGCGCGACUUCCAGCGUACAACUGAGCAUUAGCAGAAGAGAUUACGGAGAUCAAAAUAAUGGCAUUCAGAAUUGAAGGUAACGCUUUGAUGUUAGCAUCUUUAAUAGCUAGCACAAAUGGACUUGCAUCAACUCCAUGGUAUGAAGUUAACCGAGGGUCAGCACCACUAAUGAGUAAACUAACAAUGAAAAGUGAAAGUAUGUAGAAUAUUGCUAUUCUGAAUAGCGUUUGUCUUACUGCAACCGGAAAGGCCUUCGCGGGGUUCUCUGUUUCAGCUGCUGCGACACCAACAUAUUCAGUACCGGAAAAAGAAAAUGCAGCACUGGUAAAUACAGCGCAAAAUCCUUUAAAUUUGUGGCGAAAAGCAUUUUCGCGGAAAAUAUGUGUUCCCAUAUAGCCUCGAUGAUCAGUUGGUACACCACCGCAAUCAAUAAUGAUACCAAGAAUGAUAAAACCACACAUUGCAACCACUUUGAUAGUAGACAUGAUAAACUCCAUUUCACCAUAUCCUUUUACUCCAAAGAUAUUAAUAAAAAAUAGGAACACGAUGAAAACUGUCACCCAUAUACCACUGUUUAGAUUGGUCCAAUAUUUGAUCAUCAUUGUUCCUGUCGUCAACUCUAAUGGAAUCGUAACAAUGAACGAGAAUACAUAAUUCCAACUAAGUGCAAAGCCCCAUGAUUCAUCGAUGAAUCGCGUAGCAUGUGUAACAAAACUUCCCCGCGUAGGAAAGGCAACAGCUAAUUCUCCUAAAGCAUAAACAGUACAAAAAACCAUAGUUCCAACAAUACAGUAGUCAAUUAAAACUGACGCUGCUCCCCCCCUAUAAAGAGAUUUAGAGCUUCCCACCCAAACACCGGUACCAAUAGCUCCACCAAUACCGAUCAUUUGAAUAUGACGACUCUUAAGCCGACGCUUUAGUCCUUGUCCGGCAGAAUCUUGUUGGUUUUUUUCAAUUUUAAAUCCAUUAAUGAAUCGUCGAAAUACAUUCUCUUCUUUGGCAGGGACUGUUUCGACCUCACCGACAUAAGAAAUGACUUCUUCGCCGUUGAAAUUGUCUUUAUCUUUUGAUUUCUCGGGUUCAUUACUUAUGAAGUUUUCGGGAGGAUACGAUUCUGAAUAUACGGAUUCAGAAUCCCUAACAUAAGCAUUCAUCUCAAAAUAUCUUUUCUUUCUUUCAAAAUUUCACGGCGCAAGCUCAAUCAACAGAUUUGUACCUAAAAGGCUGGAAACCAAAUAGACUAUUGUUAGGUCAGGUAUUGCUAUUCUUGGAUCUAACUAGAACAGCAAACAGAUUCAAAUAAAAUAUUGACUAAUAAACUGACGAUUAAAAGAAAUUUUACUUUUAAUAUGUAUGCGGUAUAGUAUUGACAAGGAUUUGGCUCUAGGGAUGUGAUGGUAAACAAUGUUGCUUUAAAAAUUUACAGAAGAGUAUUGAGAUACGCUGGGUCCUGAAGAUAGGUUUAUAUUACAAAAUGAAAGGA